UUGGUCGAGUGAACCACCUAAACGUCACGAAUUUCAUUGUUUUUUAGCCUACGUCACGGUGGGAAAUCGCUGCUGACUGUUGCACUUAAGCCCACGAGCACCAAAAUUUCAUUCUGACUGGUGCACUUGAGCCAGCGUUAUAAAUCUUCAAACCUUCAAAAUUAUAAUUACAUGACUAUGGCAUUUGGCUUAUUUAUAUCUUGAAGUCAUCAUGGCUGAAAGUAGGCAUAUAUACGAUUUUGGCUCAUUGAUUCAAGACAGUAAAACCAGCGAGAUUUCUUCUGUAAGAAAAGAUUAUGAAGCAAAAGUCUCUGCUGCCAUUCCGACUAAAACAGACCUGUUUCGAAAAGGAAAGCUGGCGAGAGAUCUUAACGCAGAGUUGAUUAUCCCUAACCAUAUGGGAGAUAAUUGGCGGGCUUUAAAAGGUGAUGGUAACUGCGUGAACAUUUCUUUGCUAUAUCUACGUAUCUUUUUCUGCUGUUGGAGGAGUGAUAUUAUCAAUGAAAGAAGAAGAAUAACAUUUAUUAUUACUUGUUGCCUGCCUUUAGUACGAUGAUUACAUCUUGAACAUUUCUUUGCUAUAUCUACGUAUCUUUUUCUGCUGCUGUUGGAUGAGUUGUAUCAAGUGUGAUUAAUGGUCAAAAACUUGUGCUUUUUGUGAGAUAUAAAAGGUUUCUUUGCGUUUCACGACAAAAAAUAUGCCAAGCUUCUACCUUUUCAAAAUCACUCGUGGAUUGGAAUGAUACCUUCCUGAUUGUAAGUUUUGGCGAAGGUGUGAAACUUGAUAAAUCUGAUAGUAGUAAUGAAAAUGUUUAAAGGUUAGUGGAAUUUUAGAUUUUAUAUCAUUGAAAUUUGCGAAAAGUUUACAAACUAAGUAAAGCCAAGUUUUUUUUAAAUUCUGUUGUCAAAACGUAGGAAAUCGCAUUUCCGACGGUCUAAAAUAUAAAAUUUUCCGGGGGGGAUCCUCCCAGACCCUCCUACAGAGCUAGCGCCUUUGGCGCUCACAGUGGUGCAUCAGUCACGAAAAUUGCUGGAUCCGCCCCUGCUACUGACGCCAUCAAGUUUUUGUAAGACUUAACUAAAAGCUAAAUAAUAUGCAAUCAAGAUCCCUAUGAAGUUUUGGAGAAGUAAAAUUAACUAAGCAGAGAAAUAAUAACACUUCAAAAGGCAAAAAAAUCUGACAGAAUGUUCGAAAUCCUACCUUUGCACAGUAAACAAAUUCCAACAGCGUCUUAUAAGCGGAUUAUUGUCGAUAUAUAUCAUACAUUAUGCGCAAAAAACUCAAUGGUACAAUGUCAUAUGUUUUAGUAGUUUUACUUUAGAGAUCGCUUUGUGGUAAUUUUACUCUAUAAGAGUUGACGUCAUUUAUGAAAAGCGGACUUGUUCAAGGACCUAUUUAUGGACUGAAAGCCCAAUAUGAAAGAAAUUAUUAGUUAUUAAAAACCACCUGUUGCCAUUACAUAAACCUUCGAAAUGACAAAUAUAUUUAAAGCAAGAACAAUAAUACGAUGUUGAAUUUUAUUGCACGUUUUAUUGCACCUUAAAAUUAGAUGGACGAGAUGAGGACCACAUGUCGUUAUAUACCAGUUUUUAUAUGUUAAAGUACAACUAUAUUAAAUAAUACAACGUAUGUUUUGUCCAUGAUUCACGUUUAGUAAAUUUUAACAUUUGUAUUGUUUUAUCUUCAAAAUCUACAAACACACAUAACUUUUUUUAAGAAUUAUACGCAUGCCUUGCAAAAAAUUAAUCAAAGUAGCCAAAAAAAUUAUAGUGCACACGGCAUCGGCUUGCUUCUACCUCGUAUUAGUAACUUACACAGGUCCGCCUGACUCCGUCAUUAGUAGUAAGCAAAACUUUACCCAAAUUCAAGUUAAUUGUGAUAUAUGUAUGGCAUCGAGCAUAUUUACAAAGCACUUGGUAUGACAAAAAAAUUAUUACAUUAAAAUUCCUUUUCAGUUAGUUUACACCAUUAUGGCAGCUUUUAUAUUAGGUGAAAGCGCUCUAUCAUUAAUUUAGAUUGUUCCUGUUUGUUAAGUAGCUACAUGUCAUUUCCUUCAGUGUCUUCCUUUUUACAAAAAUAGAGGCACUGAAUAAUGUUGAAGAAAUUUGAAUACUGUUGUGGGUAACAUAUGUAUGUAAAUUAUACACUCCAAAUAAAUUAUUCAGAAAGUUUUGACCUAA